rnacentral:rRNA from 1 species
GACGAACGCUGGCGGCGUGCUUAACACAUGCAAGUCGAACGGAAAGGCCCUUCGGGGUACUCGAGUGGCGAACGGGUGCGUAACACGUGGGUGAUCUGCCCUGCACUUUGGGAUAAGCCUGGGAAACUGGGUCUAAUACCGAAUAGGACCACGCGCUUCAUGGUGUGUGGUGGAAAGCUUUUGCGGUGUGGGUUGGGCCCGCGGCCUAUCAGCUUGUUUGUGGGGUAAUGGCCUACCAAGGCGACGACGGGUAGCCGGCCUGAGAGGGUGACCGGCCACACUGGGACUGAGAUACGGCCCAGACUCCUACGGGAGGCAGCAGUGGGGAAUAUUGAACAAUGGGCGCAAGCCUGAUGCAGCGACGCCGCGUGAGGGAUGACGGCCUUCGGGUUGUAAACCUCUUUCAAUAGGGACGAAGCGCAAGUGACGGUACCUAUAGAAGAAGCACCGGCCAACUACGUG